rnacentral:snRNA from 1 species
AGGUUUGAGGCUGAUGUGGCUAUGACACCUGUUACCAUUGAUCACCAGGAUUGAUUCUGCCCAUUUGGCUCUCUACAGGUGUGUCCUGUUCUGCACUCACCACUCCUUGAGCAUCUCUCCUGAAGGUUUGCAUUUGGCAGAAGAGGACAAUCUUCUCUGACAGAGUAGCACAGUUCUUCUGUCAUGGCUAUAUAAGUAGCUGUGCUCCUCAAUAGAACUUCCAAACAAGUUCUCAAGGUCCAGAAUAAAGGUUUUUUGUUUUG